UACGAAGGGGGCUAGCGUUGCUCGGAAUCACUGGGCUUAAAGCGUGUGUAGGCGGAUCGUUAAGUGCCUUGUGAAAUCCCACGGCUUAACCGUGGAACUGCUUGGCAUACUGGCGGUCUUGAGCAACCUAGGGGCGAGCGGAACAAAUGGUGGAGCGGUGAAAUGCGUAGAUAUCAUUUGGAACGCCAAUGGUGAAAACAGCUCGCUGGGGGUUUGCUGACGCUGAGACGACGAAAGCCAGGGGAGCAAACGGG
rnacentral:rRNA from 1 species